rnacentral:rRNA from 1 species
UACGUAGGGGGCUAGCGUUGUCCGGAAUCAUUGGGCGUAAAGAGCGUGUAGGCGGCCCGGUAAGUCCGCUGUGAAAGUCGGGGGCUCAACCCUCGAAUGCCGGUGGAUACUGUCGGGCUAGAGUGCGGAAGAGGCGAGUGGAAUUCCUGGUGUAGCGGUGAAAUGCGCAGAUAUCAGGAGGAACAGCGGUGGCGAAGGCGGGUCUCUGGGCCAUAACUGACGCUGAGGAGCGAAAGCGUGGGGAGCGAACAGG